UACGUAGGGUGCAAGCGUUAAUCGGAACUACUGGGCGUAAAGCGUGCGCAGGCGGUGAUGUAAGACAGUUGUGAAAUCCCCGGGCUCAACCUGGGAACUGCAUCUGUGACUGCAUCGCUGGAGUGCGGCAGAGGGGGAUGGAAUUCCGCGUGUAGCAGUGAAAUGCGUAGAUAUGCGGAGGAACACCGAUGGCGAAGGCAAUCCCCUGGGCCUGCACUGACGCUCAUGCACGAAAGCGUGGGGAGCAAACAGG
rnacentral:rRNA from 1 species